UGCAACAGCCUAAUAAAGAGGAUAAUGGAUUGGUUUAACCUUUAAGGGAGGAGAGUGCAGCGCUGCAUCGUCCGCUGUGUGCACACAGCCCCCGGCUCAGUGUGAGCGCAUCCAGCACACGGACAUCCACAUUCCCUCCCCACGGUGCUCCCAUCACAUGCCUCAAUCCAUGUGAGAGUAGAUCCAGCACAGUGCAGGAGACAUUCGCCUACGCAGAUCUCAUUAGUUGUCUCGAAGAGGGAAGGGAAUGAACAUGACUGGCGACGUCCCAGCCCUCCUCUCUGUCUCCCUUUCAGAGGGAAGGGGGGAGAAGGGGCAGAGACAAGGAAAGCUUUUGGGGAGAUUAAUGAGCAUAACCAGGCUGUAGUGAUGAAUUCGUCUGGCCUGAAGUGUAAUUGUAGCACAGGGAUUAGUGCUCUGGGGAGCUGUUUGGCUGUUGCUGGUGGGUGAUUUUUAGCUAUUGAUGCACACAGGGGGUAAAAGCAACAGUUGGUUAUGCUGUGCUUUGGGGUAGAGCCAGUGAAAUAAAGGUUUCUGGAGUGGGCUUUGGGGCAGAAGCAGGAGGGGUUUAUAGCAUCCUGUGUCAGGCUCACAGCCGAGGACUGAUCCCAGUGUCCUGCUGUCUCUGAUGCUUUUGGUAGGGCUGUCUCUGCAUCAGGACACUGCUGCGUCCCACAGCUCGGGGUUUGCAAGGGCUCCAAGGAGGGGAAAAGCACGUGCUGCCCUCCUCCCUGCCCUGAGCAUGUCUUUUAUCACAGAAAGGGCUUGAUGGGGGUUCCCCAGAGCAUGUAUUGCAGUAGGAUGGUUUCUUGUUGUGUGUCUGUGCCUUUCUUCAGUGUGCGGGCUCCAAGGGUCCGUCAGGUCCUGCUGCAUCCAGGGCAUUGUGGCUGCUCCAGCCCCAAAAUCCCACCCCACCGCGCAGUUCUGACCCAUCAUGCUAGCCCUGGGCUUAGCAGAGAGGGCACUUGCUGAAAGCUCUUGAAGCUGGGGAAGCACCUGCCAUGGCAAAGGGACAAGAAUUGGAUGCGACAGGAAUGCCGCCAGCUCCAUGCGAUCCCAGGGCUGGGACUUUGAGUGCUGAAAUCCAAGAGAUAACAAAUGAAGGUGAAACAUCUGAGAAGCCUAAAAAGCAAUGGAUGAAGCAGGAUAGAGCAUGCUGCUGACACACUGGAGGGAAACCAUGGGCUGCACGUGUGAUAAGGAUUCCCUCACUGUAUCUCUAUUGGGUUUUUUAUUAAACACUGACAUGAAAACGUG